AUCCAUUCCAAGAUAGUCGUUAUCAAACCAGUGGUUUGAUAACGACUAUCUUGGAAUGUGUAUUGGUGGGU
rnacentral:pre_miRNA from 1 species